ensembl:lncRNA novel transcript
GAUGAUCAAAAAAGGAAAAAAAUUAAUCACUAAGGUUGGAGAAUAUGUUUAUUUAAACCUAGUGUCUCCCUUAAAUUUUAUAACUAGAUUUUUGACCCUCACUCAUCUGGCUUUCCUUGCUAUAGACAUGCUUUGCAUACCCAGCUUCUAGCCACAUCUUCCCUAAGAAAAUUUCACCUGGAAUCAGUUCCAAAAGAAAAUCUUAAGAGAUAGAGUAUGGAUCUGCAUGUUGUCAGCUACCUAAAGCAGCAAAAAUUCCUAGAUGAGAAUAAAAUCAGGGAACCUUGCAGUUUAAGGCACACCUUAAAUAUUAAAUUUUUAAUCCUUCAAUGCAUCCAGCCAAAACAAGAAAUUGCAAAUAGCUACCAUCCAUCAAUGCAAGGUUUUUUUGGUUUGUUUUUCAUAAUAAGAUUGGUUUUAAUUAAAGCACUUAUAAAGAUGGAGUUAUAUUUUGAACUUUGUCCUUUUACUUAAAGCAGUUAGAGUCUUACACAUCAUAACUGCCACGGCUAACCAUUAAAAUUUUCCAGCUCCUUAAAUGAUCCAUCAUAAACUUGUGCUUGCUGAGUUAACUGGACUAGAGGAUAGCUGGAGGGAAAAUGAGGCAUUGCAAAAGUUACAGUAAUAAAAAGUGAAUGGCUUCAAAAUAAGGCAGAGGACAUAAUGGCUCAUUUUAUAAUAAAAGCUUUCAGUAUAAAAUUCAUACAUUUCCCUUACUUAUAUAGAUCUUCCUACUUUCCAGACAUGUGUAUUAUUGUAUAUUACAUUUGUCAAUAGCUCAUGGCAACAGAUACACAUAGUUUGGGAUAACCCUUUUAUACCUCAUAUGAGCAGUGUUCAAAGGUUUAAAAGCACAACUCCAAAGGGCACAGCUUGAAAUGGAGCGGGAGGAUGCUAGCAAAGCCACCCCAAUAAACACAAAAUCUUAGUAAAAGCACUAUGUUUACCAGGCAAUGCAACUUCAAAACAAAUUCCUUAGCAACCCCAACCUCUUCAAGCCCGCUUCUAAUCACAUUAUUACUCCUAAGCCUCCUUAUAUACAAAAUCUUAGGCUGGCCAAGCCCAAACACACAGACACAUUAAUAAUGAGCAUCUCUGUCCUUAAAAAAUUUCAAACAUAAAAAACCUCCAAAUGAUAUGUUCCCACUGGAAGAGGCCAAAUUCUUUUCUUGUAGAUUACCCUUUUCUAUUUUUCAUUCCUACCUCCCAUGCAGUAUUCCUAGAUUCUCACACCAUUUGAUCAUUUCUCUAUUUUGAUAUUUAUCUAUAAGAAUUAAUGAUUUUUUUCAAGUCAAAUCUACAAAACCGUGGAUUUGCUUGCCUCUAAGCUAUUUAUCUCAGUGAGUCAGGCCCACUGCUUCCAUUUUUCUGGAUUAGCUUUGAAGAAGAAUCAUCAGCACUUAAUAACCUACCUAAAUCCGACUGAAGAUGCUUUCUUGAUCCUAUCUCUGGUCCUCCUACUUUGGCAGUGGGAAGAGCUACCCUAUAACUCCUCAGAGUCAUGCACAGAGCUGUAAAACCAGCAUGCAGCUGAUUUUGUGCACUUCUCUGAAGGACCCAAGCAGCAGGAUGGGUACCUUUUGUUCACCCACCCAUAGACACCACAGGACACUUUUUGUUCACCUGCUCACUUCUGCAUUGACCAAACUUAAAGAUACAGAUUCAACAGUAUGUAGGGGAAGUUUCCAGUAAAGUAUAUUCUGUUUUCUACAUUGGUUAAAUAUUGUAAUUUCAUGCGGGAACUGGGAGGCUAAGUAGUUGUUACCAUUAAGAAGAGCAACUGUGAUCUUACUUCCAGCCUAUUUUGGAAGGUGGGAUAAAAAAUAUUUGUGCCACAAAUCUCAAAUCUUGUCUCCUAUCUUACAACCUUGAAAUACAUAGUUAAUUCUGCAGGGUCUCAGACAUCCUACUGAGUUGCCAAAUAUUGAACACCAAGCUGGGCUUGUCAACACUCAGGGCUACAAAGAGGAGAUCUCAAAACUACCAUGGCCUCAGGAUUCUGAAUGUGGGUCUGAAAUCCCUACUUCUUACUUUGGAUUAAAAGCUCACCUGAGCUACACACAUCUGUUGUCCUAGAAUGGAUAUUUUUAUUUAGAUAUCAACCAAUUCAACUUCACUCCUUUAUUGAGUCAGUCAAGAAAUCAAUAAAAUUGACUUCAAAAAUUGAAAUCA